rnacentral:rRNA from 1 species
GCUUGGAAGCAGCCAUUCAUUUAAAGAGUGCGUAACAGCUCACUAGUCGAGGAGUCGGGCGUGGAUAAUAAUCGGGUAUUAAGUUGUCUACCGAAGCAGUGGGAUCAUUUAUAUGAUCGGUAGGGGAGCAUUCCAGUCGGCGUCGAAGGCGUACCGUGAGGUAUUCUGGAGCGUCUGGAAAAGCAAAUGUAGGUAUAAGUAACGAUAAAGGGGGCGGGAAACCCCCUCGCCGAAAGACUAAGGUUUCCUGAUCAACGCUAAUCGGAUCAGGGUCAGUCGGGUCCUAAGGCUCAGCCGAACGGCGAUGCCGAUGGCAGAAACGGUUAAUAUUCCGUUACUACCUUCAGGAGUGACGUGGAGACGCAGUAGUGACAGUGCCGCCAUCUGACGGAAUAGAUGGUUGAAGGGUGUAGGAGUCGAUCAUGGCAGGCAAAUCCACCAUGAGAUCCGAACCUGACAGUAUGCCGCGUCCUUCGGGACAAGGCAAUAGUGCGCGUAAGCAUGCUGCCGAGAAAAUCCGCUAAACUUAAUCCUGCAGGUACCCGUACCGCAAACGGACACACGUAGUCGGGAUGAAUAUUCUAAGGCGCUUGAGUGAUUCACGGUUAAGGAACUAGGCAAACUGACCCUGUAACUUCGGGAUAAAGGGUCCCUACCCUUUUAUGGGAGGGCGCAGAGAAUCGGUCCAGGCAACUGUUUAACAAAAACACAGGGCUGUGCCAAAUCGAAAGAUCCAGUAUACAGCCUGACACCUGCCCGGUGCUGGAAGGUUAAGAGGAGAUGUCAUCGAUGAGAGAAGCGUUGAAUUGAAGCCCCAGUAAACGGCGGCCGUAACUAUAACGGUCCUAAGGUAGCGAAAUUCCUUGUCGGGUAAGUUCCGACCUGCACGAAUGGUGUAAUGAUCUGGACACUGUCUCAACCGUGAGCUCAGUGAAAUUGUAGUAUCGGUGAAGAUGCCGAUUACCCGCGAUGGGACGAAAAGACCCCGUGAACCUUUACUAUAGCUUAUCAUUGAAUCUGGGCACGUGAUGUGUAGGAUAGGUCGGAGGCUUUGAAGCAGGUACGCCAGUAUUUGUGGAGCCGCUGUUGAAAUACGACCCUUUAUUUGUUUGGAUUCUAACCCGUGGAACGGGGACAUUGAUUGGUGGGUAGUUUGACUGGGGUGGUCGCCUCCAAAAGCGUAACGGAGGCUUCUAAAGGUGCCCUCACGCCGAUUGGUAACCGGCGGUAGAGUGUAAUGGCAUAAGGGCGCUUGACUGGGAGACUUACAAGUCGAUCAGGUAGGAAACUAGAGCAUAGUGAUCCGGUGUUUCCGUAUGGAAGGGACAUCGCUCAAAGGAUAAAAGGUACUCCGGGGAUAACAGGCUGAUC